CGCCCUUGAGUUUGAUCAUGGCUCAGAUUGAACGCUGGCGGCAGGCCUAACACAUGCAAGUCGAGCGGCAGCACGGGUACCUUGUACCUGGUGGCGAGCGGCGGACGGGUGAGUAAUGCCUAGGAAUCUGCCUGGUAGUGGGGGAUAACGCUCGGAAACGGACGCUAAUACCGCAUACGUCCUACGGGAGAAAGCAGGGGACCUUCGGGCCUUGCGCUAUCAGAUGAGCCUAGGUCGGAUUAGCUAGUUGGUGAGGUAAUGGCUCACCAAGGCGACGAUCCGUAACUGGUCUGAGAGGAUGAUCAGUCACACUGGAACUGAGACACGGUCCAGACUCCUACGGGAGGCAGCAGUGGGGAAUAUUGGACAAUGGGCGAAAGCCUGAUCCAGCCAUGCUUUUUGUGUGAAGAAGGUCUUCGGAUUGUAAAGCACUUUAAGUUGGGAGGAAGGGCAGUUACCUAAUACGUAUCUGUUUUGACGUUACCGACAGAAUAAGCACCGGCUAACUCUGUGCCAGCAGCCGCGGUCC
rnacentral:rRNA from 1 species